rnacentral:misc_RNA from 1 species
AACGCACAUUGCGCCCUCUGGUAUUCCGGAGGGCAUGCCUGUUUGAGAAUCAUUAAAUCACCAAUCUUUUCCAUGUCGUUUCCGCCGGGGACACCCGAGGAAAUCUGGAAAGGGAGUUGAGGUGUCACCUUUUUUCUGGAAAGAGAAAAGUGGAGCAUCUUGAAAAUAAAGUUACCUGCCGUCCCACCAACUGCGCGUACUAGUUAAAUGAAAAAGAAUUUUUCUUUGAUUAUGCGUUUUUUUUGUUGGUGAGUCCAGAUAGGACAUUUUGUGGCGCCGCGUGACAAACAAAGCUUUUAUAUAAGCACGGAGCCUUUUGUUUUGCCAUCGCAAAUUCAAAAUCCUCCAGAACUGUGAUCUCAAAUCAGGUAGGAGAACCCGCUGAACUUAA